rnacentral:tRNA from 1 species
GCCUGGGUAGUUCAGCUGGUAGAGCACCAGAUUUUAAUCUCAGGGUUCGGGGUUCAAAUCUCUGUUCAGCCA